UACCUGAAAGUAAUGGGUAGAAUGGAACCAA
rnacentral:piRNA from 1 species